rnacentral:rRNA from 1 species
CCUACGGGAGGCUGCAGUGAGGAAUAUUGGGCAAUGCCCGCAAGGGUGACCCAGCAACGCCGCGUGGAGGAUGAAGGCCGUAAGGUUGUAAACUCCUGUUAGAGGAGAAGAAUAGUACCGAUUGGAUCGGUAUUUGACUGUACCCUCAGAGAAAGCCCCGGCUAACUACGUGCCAGCAGCCGCGGUAAUACGUAGGGGGCAAGCGUUGUCCGGUUUUACUGGGGGUAAAGGGGGCGCAGGCGGGAUAGCUGAAAUCCUACAGCUUAACUGGAGAACUGCCGUGGAUACUGUUAUUCUUGAGUUCGGGAGAGAGAGACGGAAUUCCAGGUGUAGUGGUGAAAUACGUAGAUAUCUGGAAGAACACCAGUUGCGAAGGCGGUCUCUUGGUCCGAUACUGACGCUGAGGCGCGAAAGCGUGGGGAGCAAACAGGAUUAGAUACCCGGGUAGUC